CGGGACACGUGGUAUCCUGUCUGAAUAUGGGGGGACCAUCCUCCAAGGCUAAAUACUCCUGACUGACCGAUAGUGAACCAGUACCGUGAGGGAAAGGCGAAAAGAACCCCGGCGAGGGGAGUGAAAAAGAACCUGAAACCGUGUACGUACAAGCAGUGGGAGCACGCUUAGGCGUGUGACUGCGUACCUUUUGUAUAAUGGGUCAGCGACUUAUAUUCUGUAGCAAGGUUAACCGAAUAGGGGAGCCGAAGGGAAACCGAGUCUUAACUGGGCGUUAAGUUGCAGGGUAUAGACCCGAAACCCGGUGAUCUAGCCAUGGGCAGGUUGAAGGUUGGGUAACACUAACUGGAGGACCGAACCGACUAAUGUUGAAAAAUUAGCGGAUGACUUGUGGCUGGGGGUGAAAGGCCAAUCAAACCGGGAGAUAGCUGGUUCUCCCCGAAAGCUAUUUAGGUAGCGCCUCGUGAAUUCAUCUCCGGGGGUAGAGCACUGUUUCGGCAAGGGGGUCAUCCCGACUUACCAACCCGAUGCAAACUGCGAAUACCGGAGAAUGUUAUCACGGGAGACACACGGCGGGUGCUAACGUCCGUCGUGAAGAGGGAAACAACCCAGACCGCCAGCUAAGGUCCCAAAGUCAUGGUUAAGUGGGAAACGAUGUGGGAAGGCCCAGACAGCCAGGAUGUUGGCUUAGAAGCAGCCAUCAUUUAAAGAAAGCGUAAUAGCUCACUGGUCGAGUCGGCCUGCGCGGAAGAUGUAACGGGGCUAAACCAUGCACCGAAGCUGCGGCAGCGACGCUGAUGCGUUGUUGGGUAGGGGAGCGUUCUGUAAGCCUGUGAAGGUGUGCUGUGAGGCAUGCUGGAGGUAUCAGAAGUGCGAAUGCUG
rnacentral:rRNA from 1 species